rnacentral:rRNA from 1 species
AACCUGCCUAGCAGAGCGACCAGCGAACAUGUUUAUCAUGCAUGGGAUGGGGGUGAAAGCCCUUGUCCCACGUCAAGGAGGCACUCCACUUUGGUGGAGCGCCCUCUUGGCACAAUAACGAACCCCGGCGCGGUAUGCGCCAAGGAACAUGGAUACAAGUGUGCCCUUCCAUGCCUAGUACGCUGGGUAUGGGGGUGGCAACAAGUCGUAUAUAACAUUAAACGACUCUCGGCAACGGAUAUCUCGGCUCUCGCAUCGAUGAAGAACGUAGCGAAAUGCGAUACUUGGUGUGAAUUGCAGAAUCCCGUGAACCAUCGAGUCUUUGAACGCAAGUUGCGCCCGAAACCUUAGGGUCGAGGGCACGCCUGCCUGGGCGUCACGCAUCGCGUCUCCCCCAACCCACCAAGUGUGGGAAGGGUGGAGGAGGAUGGCCUCCCAUGCCUCACCGGGCGUGGAUGGCUUAAAUAAGGAGCCCCCGGUUGCGAGAUGCCGCGGCGAUUGGUGGUAGACAAGGCCUAGCCUAGGAUGCAUCGCGCCGCACACCACGUAGCUCUCGAGGUCUCGCAGGACCCUUAGUUGUUUUCCUCUUGAGGUGACAAACCGUUGCGA